rnacentral:misc_RNA from 1 species
AAAAAAACUAGGGAUUUUCAUUUUUUUUAACUCUUCUUGGAAAGGGGUUAAGACAGGCAGAGUUUUUAAAAAUGUACUGAAGAAUCUUGAGAAAUAUUUUAAUCAAACUUUAAUAGGUCUAUUGUUUACAAGUUUUUAAAAUAAACUUCAGCUUUGUCUCUAUGUAAUUAACUGUAAAAUACAUCAAUAUUCUUUAUGGCAUGUGGUUUAGUCGUUUAGGAGAGUACUGUAAUAAUAUGUUCUCUACCAGAUGUCAAUUUCCUAUUUGGUUCUUAGUUUUGAGACAUUUAAAUAAUCUGUCAAAAUAUUGUAAGGAUUCAAGGUCAUUCACUAAUGUGUUUAUGUAUGUAUGUGCUUA